rnacentral:rRNA from 1 species
CAAUAGCGUAUAUUAAAGUUGUUGCGGUUAAAAAGCUCGUAGUUGGAUUUCUGCUGAGGACGACCGGUCCGCCCUUCGGGUGAGUAUCUGGUUUGGCCUUGGCAUCUUCUUGGUGAACGUAUCUGCACUUGACUGUGUGGUGCGGUACCCAGGACUUUUACUUUGAGGAAAUUAGAGUGUUUCAAGCAGGCAUACGCCUUGAAUACAUUAGCAUGGAAUAAUAAGAUAGGACCUCGGUUCUAUUUUGUUGGUUUCUAGAGCUGAGGUAAUGAUUAAUAGGGAUAGUUGGGGGCAUUCGUAUUUAACUGUCAGAGGUGAAAUUCAUGGAUUUGUUAAAGACGGACUACUGCGAAAGCAUUUGCCAAGGAUGUUUUCAUUG